rnacentral:rRNA from 1 species
AGGGCGUAUGGUGGAUGCCUUGGCAGACAGUACCGAUGAAGGACGUUUGAGGCUGCGAUAUGCCUCGGGGAGCCGCCAGCAGGGCUUUGAUCCGAGGAUUUCCGAAUGGGGGAACCCGCCGGCCGUCAUGGGCCGGCACCGCGUUCGCGCGGGGGGUACGCAGGGAAGUGAAACAUCUCAGUACCUGCAGGAAAGGAUGUUCCGUGAGUAGUGGCGAGCGAAAGCGGAUCAGGCCAAACCGCGCGCGUGUGACAGGCGCCAGCCGUUGCGCGCGUGGUGUUGAGGGAGCGUGUGUCCGGGUCCUGGCGGGCCCGGCCGGAGUGAUAAAACGGCGUGUGAGGCGAACCGGAUUGAAUGCCGGGCCGCAGAGGGUGAUGGCCCCGUAGCCGAACGCGCGUCGUCUCCGGAUCGUGUCUCCCAAGUAGCGCGGGACUCGUGGAAUCCCGUGUGAAUCCGCCCCGACCGUGGGGUAAGCCUAGAUAUACCUGUCUGACCGAUAGCGAACUAGUACCGUGAGGGAAAGGUGAAAAGCACCCCGGGAGGGGAGUGAAACAGUCUCUGAAACCGUGCGCUUACAAACCGUCGGAGCCUUUCGGGGUGACGGCGUGCCUAUCGAAAAAUGAGUCUGCGAGUCAGUGGCACGUGGCGAGCGUAACCCGUGUGGGGUACGCGUAGCGAAGGCGAGUCUCAAAAGGCGUUUGAGUCGCGUGUCCUGGACCCGAAGCGGGAUGAUCUAGCCCUGAGCAGGUUGAAGCGCGGGUAAGACCGCGUGGAGGACCGAACCCACCUGGGUUGAAAACCGGGGGGAUGACUUGGGGCUAGGGGUGAAAGGCCAAUCAAAUUCCGUGAUAGCUGGUUCUCUCCGAAAUGCAUUUAGGUGCAGCGUCGGGGAUUACGUCCGGGGGGUAGAGCUACUGGAUGCUUGAGGGCCCGUAUCGGGUACCGACAGCAGCCAAACUCCGAAUACCCGUGACGCGUAUCCCGGCAGUGAGUCGGCGGGGGAUAAGCUCCGUCGUCGAAAGGGAGACAGCCCAGAUCGUCGUCUAAGGUCCCCAAGCGCGUGCUAAGUGGGAAAGGAUGUGGAGUCGCAUAGACAGCCAGGAGGUUGGCUCAGAAGCAGCCACCCUUGAAAGAGUGCGUAACAGCUCACUGGUCUAGUGGUUCCGCGCCGACAAUGUAGCGGGGCUCAAGCACGCCACCGAAGACGCGGCAGCGUCCGUUUGGAUGCUGGGUAGGAGAGCGUCCCCAUCGGGGCGAAGCGGCGGCGCAAGCCUGCCGUGGACCGUUGGGGAGUGAGAAUGCAGACAUGAGUAGCGAGAGGCGGGUGCGAAUCCCGCCCGCUGGAUGACCAAGGGUUCCGGGGCCACGUUCGUCGUCCCCGGGUGAGUCGGGUCCUAAGGCGAGGCCGACAGGCGUAGUCGAAUGGAUGAACGGGCUGAUAUUCCCGUACCGGCAGCGAACCGAAACAACCGAGGCCUGGGGCGCUAACCUCCGGGUCCGUGCCGUCUCCCCUUUCGGGGGGUCGCGGCGCGGGCGCGUUGGGAUCCCCCCUCGUAGUAGGUCAGCGCAGGAGUGACGCAUCAGGGCAGCCGGCCGCGGAGGUGGUUUUCCGUGGUCAAGCGUUCGAGCCCGUCCCGCAGGCAAAUCCGCGGGGCGUCGGGGCGAGGCGUGAUGAUGGGGGCCUUACGGCCCGAAUCCGGUGAUCCGUGGUGCCGAGAAAAGCUUCGGCGUCAGGCGCGUUGCCGCCCGUACCCCAAACCGACACUGGUGGUCAGGUAGAGAAUACCAAAGCGAUCGAGCGAAUCCUGGUCAAGGAACUCGGCAAAUUGCUCCCGUGCCUUCGGCAUAAGGGAGACCCCCUGCGGUGAUGAGCGGCGGGGGGUGGCACAGGCCAGGGGGUAGCGACUGUUUACCAAAAACACAGGAGCGUGCGAAGGCGCAAGCCGCUGUAUACGCUCUGACGCCUGCCCGGUGCCGGAAGGUUAAGAGGAUCCGUCAGCUUUCUGCGAAGCGGUGAAUUCAAGCCCCGGUAAACGGCGGUGGUAACUAUAACCAUCCUAAGGUAGCGAAAUUCCUUGUCGGGUAAGUUCCGACCUGCACGAAUGGCGUAACGACUUCCCCACUGUCUCGACCAGGAGCUCGGCGAAAUUGCAGUACGAGUAAAGAUGCUCGUUAAGCGCAGAAGGACGAAAAGACCCCGGGACCUUUACUAUACCUUGGUAUUGGCAUUCGGUGUGGAUUGUGUAGCAUAGGCGGGAGGCCGAGAGGCGCGGUCGCCAGAUCGCGCGGAGCCGUAAGGUGAAAUACCGCUCUGUUCGCAUUGGAUGUCUAACCUCGAACAGUCAUCCUGUUCAGGGACAGUGCCUGGCGGGUAGUUUAACUGGGGCGGUUGCCUCCCAAAGAGUAACGGAGGCGCCCAAAGGUCCGCUCAGCCCGGUUGGCAAUCGGGUGGCGAGUGCAAGUGCACAAGCGGGCUUGACUGCGAGGACGACGGUCCGAGCAGGGACGAAAGUCGGGACUAGUGAUCCGGUGCCGGUGUACGGACGCGGCAUCGCUCAACGGAUAAAAGGUACCCCGGGGAUAACAGGCUGAUCAU